rnacentral:lncRNA from 1 species
AUAACGACUGCGCUUCUAUCCGGGGCAGGCCUCGAGAAAAUGAAUAACGAAAUUAUAGUGAUUUCUUCACACCUAGUAUCUAAAUCGGUGCGCGCCGCCAUUUUAGAGAUCUGUCUCGAAGGCGGUGUUGAGUUGAAAGCGCAAUUUUGGAAUGAAUCUUUAAUAAUAAAUAAUACAACGAAAUUGUCGAUUGGCAUUUUAAUCAUCACUCCACGGGAAGGCGAACCUUCAAUUUCGAUACUUUUAUUUCGCCUUUUGGAACAACUAAAUACAUCAUAAAAUUAAAGAUUCGCCCUCACCGACUGAUGAUUACAACACCAAUCGACAAUUCUGUUGUGUACAGCGACCUUUCGAUGAAUGCGUAACACCAAACUCAAAAUUCAAAAAUUUCGGUACCUCCAAUAAAAACUACUGUAUCUCGGAUUUCAAAACGACUUUUCAAGAUGGCCACGCGCACCGGUUCGGGUACUACGCGUGGAGAAAAAUACGGUACUAUAAUUUCACCAUUCAUUUUUCUCCGUGCUUCCCCGGAUGGAGGCGCAACCCUUUUGGAAAGUUUUCUCUACUUGUCAUCUUUCUAUUGUUACUAUUUUCAUUCAUAUGGCAUUU